UACGUAGGGUGCGAGCGUUAAUCGGAAUUACUGGGCGUAAAGCGUGCGCAGGCGGUUUGGUAAGACAGGCGUGAAAUCCCCGGGCUUAACCUGGGAACUGCGUUUGUGACUGCACGGCUAGAGUAUGGCAGAGGGGGGUGGAAUUCCACGUGUAGCAGUGAAAUGCGUAGAGAUGUGGAGGAACACCGAUGGCGAAGGCAGCCCCUGGGCCAAUACUGACGCUCAUGCACGAAAGCGUGGGGAGCAAACAGGAUUAGAUACCCUUGUAGU
rnacentral:rRNA from 1 species